rnacentral:rRNA from 1 species
AGGAUGAUCAGCCACACUGGAACUGAGACACGGUCCAGACUCCUACGGGAGGCAGCAGUGGGGAAUAUUGCACAAUGGGCGCAAGCCUGAUGCAGCCAUGCCGCGUGUAUGAAGAAGGCCUUCGGGUUGUAAAGUACUUUCAGCAGUGAGGAAGGUGGUGUUGUUAAUAGCAGCAUCAUUUGACGUUAGCUGCAGAAGAAGCACCGGCUAACUCCGUGCCAGCAGCCGCGGUAAUACGGAGGGUGCGAGCGUUAAUCGGAAUUACUGGGCGUAAAGCGCAUGCAGGUGGUCUGUUAAGUCAGAUGUGAAAGCCCGGGGCUCAACCUCGGAAUUGCAUUUGAAACUGGCAGACUAGAGUACUGUAGAGGGGGGUAGAAUUUCAGGUGUAGCGGUGAAAUGCGUAGAGAUCUGAAGGAAUACCAGUGGCGAAGGCGGCCCCCUGGACAGAUACUGACACUCAGAUGCGAAAGCGUGGGGAGCAAACAGGAUUAGAUACCCUGGUAGUCCACGCCGUAAACGAUGUCUACUUGGAGGUUGUGGCCUUGAGCCGUGGCUUUCGGAGCUAACGCGUUAAGUAGACCGCCUGGGGAGUACGG